UGUACGCAAACGUCGAAGCGAGAAGUUGUACGAAGGCGCCUAGCCGCGACGCCCGAGACAGCCGACGGAGAGACGGAGAGAACGCAGUGGGCACAAGCAAAGAAGCAAGGCUCUCUCUCUCCCUCUCCAGUUGUGCGGCUCACGUACGUGCCGCUGUCAUCGCUCUGUGGCGUCUCUUGUUGCUUGCUUGUGUUUUCAUUCAGCACAGCGAAAGGGUCGGUCUGUCUUGGAGGCAGUAAUCAAUCGAAGUGAAUCGUGCGGUACCGUGUGUGUGCGCGCCACUGCAGGCCGCCCUCGCGGCUUUUCUUCUUUUUUUUGCCGUCUUUAUUGGUGGACUCUCCCUCUCUCUUCCAUCAUCCCCUCCCGCACCGCACCGCCACCCCUUUUUUGUUGUUGCUGCCUUGCGCUGCACCGCUUUUUCGUCUUACCUUGCUUUGCUCACGUCUUCUCCGUUCAUCUUCGUAUCUCUACGCCACCCACGUCCCAAGCAAGCCUCCGCUCGUGCUGGAGAGCGGUGCCAACUCUGCGGCUGGCAUUGCACAUCCCUAUCUUUCUCUCUCUUCUUAUAUGCACAGGAGAGAGAGGCUGGCGCAGACCGCUCCAUCCGCUGGAUCGUCAGCAAGCAGAGGGUAGCCGCAUACAGGUAUACACGCACACACACGCUUGAAAAUGGGGUGCUGCUGCUCACGUCGGAAAAGUCAAUCGAACAGCCCCACGGCGCCUACGCCGCCUGACAUGCAGCGCUGGAAGGGCAAAGCAGCGGAGCGCACCACCAGUCCGGCUGGCAGGGCCGUCGCAGGAGGAGGCGCAGGGGCGGGGGCUCCGGCAGAGGAGAUGAGGGCGCGCGUACGCAGACGGGCAUUGCAGGCACUGGUCGAGUCUCUUUGCGCCGGUGAAUCGAAGAUCCCCACGAUGAAGUGGCGACGGCAAUAUCUCAAAACACCUGGCAUUGGCCCUGCCGCGGUGUCUGCCAUUGCGAACCACAUCCAAGGACUGCCGGUGGUCGUGUCGGGCUCUGUGGCGCCUGCACCACAGCCACUUGAGAAGCGACCGCGGCACCACAUCCGCACGCUUGACAUGCGCGCGUUGCACGCCGGCGACGACGGCUUUGUGGAAAUGAUGAGUGCGCUGCUGGGCGACACGCUCAUCGAGAACGCAAUCUUCGCUGGUAACAAUAUCACCGACGACGGUGUACGUCGACUUGUCAGUCAUAUACACAGGUACAACAGUACGCCGACGGUGAACAGUGGCACAUCAGCUGCCGCAGCAGCAGAGACGGCUGGGGGCAGUGUGUCACAGAAAACACUCCCAUGCAAGCUUAAGCUGCUUGCGCUCACCGAUAAUUUUAUCACCUCGGAAGGCAUCGCCACCUUUACCACCGUGGCCCCGCUUUUCCUCUCCCUGGAGCAGCUCGAGGUGGGUCGCGGCCAGAGCGCUGGCGGUGGCGAUGUCGACGACGUCCGCGACACCCUCAGUGCACAGCACAUCGAAGCCCUGUCCACGUACAUCCAGCGCACGCCAAAGCUGGUGACGUUUCUGUACAAGGGAAACGGCAACUACUACGCCCGCAACGGCUUCACGCCGGAUGGGAUGACCGCGUUUGUAGAUGCCGUUGUUGGUGGCAGUGCACUUAAGGAGCUGUACCUGCAAGAAUGUUUCAGCACAAAGCCGGGCAUGGUAGGGCCUCUCACGGUGCAGGCCCCACGAGGCGGGAAGAAGGCCGUGACAGCUGAGCCCGAUGACUCGUGGGCACCAGAGAAGCUGCUGCAGCCGAUGCAGGCGCUUGCCACAGCGCUGAAUGCUUCGUCCAGCAAUUUGUCCACACUUAUUCUCCGCUUUCCGCUCAGCGACGAGGCGGUCCAAGCGCUUUCCAUCGGCCUUGCACAGGCGCCGCACCUGCUCGACCUCAGCCUGCGCGGCUGCGACCUCUCGAGCAAGGCGCUUGGCGUAAUCGGUGACGCACUCUGCACAAAUAAAGUGCUGCGCAUGCUCGAUGUCUCCUACCAGUCCAACACGAUUGCCCACCCCGCCUUCAUGGCGGAGCUGCGCAGUUCAUCAAAGCGGCGGAUGUCCUUCAUCUCGACGAUGGGCUACACCGCGGCGGAAAUGGCGCGGCACGACCUCAGCAGUGGUGGCUCUGAGGUGCCCUCUCGCGAGGAACGUCAGCACCCGCUGCUCCCUAUCAUUCGCAGCCUUCACAAGAACCGCUCCCUUUCGCAGCUUGUGAUGCUAGGGGUGAACAUUUCGACGGAUGACAUCGAGGAGCUGUGCGCCUGCAUUGAGCGCAGCGGCAACCGCACCCUUACAGAGGUGUGGUACACCCGCGCCGGCAGCGACGCGCUCGACAUGAAGCUGGAGGAUUUCCUUGCAUCCAACCGGCAGCGCGGCGCCGGCGGCAGCGCCGCAGCGGGUGGCGGUGCCUUCGGCUGCUCCUCUUUGGGCAGCACCUACGGCGCGUUAGCGUUGCCGGUGAGCAGGUCGAGCGGCACAUUGUUCCCUGACGCCGCCGUCUUGUCGGACAGCUCCGAGUCGCCGACGAAGUCGACAAAGGAGCGCUACUCUUCCGUGCGCAACAGAAAAGGGGACAUCCCUCACGGACUGGUCCCCUCUUUGGUCUCUAUCCCUCACCACCCACUACACAACGGCGGCAAUCCAACCAUGAGCGAUAGGGGAGGUUUGGCAGAUGUGAUGAACGGCGAUCGUCGGACACCGCCGUCAUCGCUUGAGAGCACGCAGACUGCCCUGAAGGCGGUCACGGUGAACACGAAGAUGAACGCGGCAACGUUCGCGGCCGAGAGCGCCUCACCUUCACAGGUGGCGGUGUCACUUCUUUGUAACGGUUGCGAUGCUUCCGUGGUGCGACUGAGCUCCACGCUUCGCGUGAACGGUGGGGACAAGAGCUGUCUCAGUCUACACUCAGGAGACAUCACCGACGACGCGGGCACAGCGCCGUACCACUCUCAGAUGCCUCCAGAACGGCGAAAGAAGCAGUAGAGAAGAAGUGCCGGGAAAGGGACUGCGUCAUUCAUGCAACGGGUGUGCAUCACAGGUGAGCGGGUGGCGACCCCUCCGCCCUCCCCCCCCCUCUCUCUCAUGGUGUUAUGCACUUUUGCAGCGCUUCUGUUCCAUAGUGGGGCCGACACACCUGUUUUGCUCGGUCACAGGUGGAGUGUCCUGGGUCAAAGUCUGCGCUUUCUUGCGUGGCACGUCUCUCACGGCUAUGCUGCUCUUCUGUUCCCUUCUCAUGUCACUCUACCACCACCACCACCACCCCUCUUCCGCCACUCGACUUUCGCUUGCAUGCGAAUGGCCGCUACUUCUGAACGGAACCCACCCCGCACGCUCGCGGACUCCGCCUCUCUUCGCCGUCUAUCACACCUCUCCGGGAAUCACCCUGUUUUUCUUUCCUGGCUACACUAUAAUCAG
rnacentral:misc_RNA from 1 species